CAAUAGCGUAUAUUAAAGUUGUUGCAGUUAGAACGCUCGUAGUCGGAUUUCGGGGCGGGUCGACCGGUCUGCCGAUGGGUACGCACUGGCCGACGCGCCCUUUUUGCCGGAGACCGUCCCUACUCUUAACUGAGCGGGGUCGGGAGACGGCACUUUUACUUUGAAAAAAUCAGAGUGUUUCAAGCAGGCAGCUCGCUCUUGCAUGGAUUAGCAUGGGAUAAUGAAAUAGGACUUUGGUGCUAUUUUGUUGGUUUCGAACACCGAAGUAAUGAUGAGAAGGGACAGUCAGGGGCACUCGUAUUCCGCCGAGAGAGGUGAAAUUCUCAGACCAGCGGAAGACGAACCACUGCGAAAGCAUUUGCCAGGGAUGUUUUCACUGA
rnacentral:rRNA from 1 species